GAGCCAAGGCUGGUGGGAUGAGGAGCAGGAGAAGGCCUGGAGGAAGCAGUCCCGCAGGAAGACGUGUAUCAGGAGAUGCCCGCCCAGCUCCGCAAGCAGCAGGAGUCUCUGGCCCGCCACCUGCAGACCUACGGGGAGCACUACCCACUGGAUCACUUCGAUAAGUGAGACCUGCUCAGCCCACCCCCACCCAUCCUCAGCUACCCCGAGAGGUAGCCCCACUCUAAGGGGAGCAGGGGGACCUGACAGCACACCACUGUCUUCCCCAGUCAGCUCCCUCUAAAAUACUCAGCGGCCAGGGCGGCUGCCACUCUUCACCCCUGCUCCUCCCGGCUGUUACAUUGUCAGGGGACAGCAUCUGCAGCAGUUGCUGAGGCUCCGUCAGCCCCCUCUUCACCUGUUGUUACAGUGCCUUCUCCCAGGGGCUGGGUGAGGGCACAUUCAGGACUAGAAGCCCCUCUGGGCAUGGGGUGGACAUGGCAGGUCAGCCUGUGGAACUUGCGCAGGUGCGAGUGGCCAGCAGAGGUCACGAAUAAACUGCAUCUCUGCGCCUGGCUCUCUA
rnacentral:lncRNA from 1 species